rnacentral:tRNA from 1 species
ACCAUUUUGGCGGAGAAGCGCAUGAAGUUUAGGGCUUUAAAACGGGAUACCAAGUGGUG